AAGACAGAGGGUGCAAACGUUGUUCGGAAUUACUGGGCGUAAAGCGCGUGUAGGCGGCAGGGCAAGUCGGAUGUGAAAGCCCACGGCUCAACCGUGGAAGUGCACCCGAUACUGCUCAGCUAGAGUCUCGGAGAGGAAGGUGGAAUGCUUGGUGUAGAGGUGAAAUUCGUAGAUAUCAAGCAGAACACCGGUGGCGAAGGCGGCCUUCUGGACGAUGACUGACGCUGAGACGCGAAAGCGUGGGGAGCAAACA
rnacentral:rRNA from 1 species